rnacentral:rRNA from 1 species
AUUGAACGCUGGCGGCAUGCCUUACACAUGCAAGUCGAACGGUAACGAGCCUUCGGGUGCCGACGAGUGGCGAACGGGUGAGUAAUACAUCGGAACGUGCCCGAUCGUGGGGGAUAACGAGGCGAAAGCUUUGCUAAUACCGCAUACGAUCUACGGAUGAAAGCAGGGGACCGCAAGGCCUUGCGCGGACGGAGCGGCCGAUGGCAGAUUAGGUAGUUGGUGGGAUAAAAGCUUACCAAGCCGAUGAUCUGUAGCUGGUCUGAGAGGAUGAUCAGCCACACUGGGACUGAGACACGGCCCAGACUCCUACGGGAGGCAGCAGUGGGGAAUUUUGGACAAUGGGCGCAAGCCUGAUCCAGCCAUGCCGCGUGCAGGAUGAAGGCCUUCGGGUUGUAAACUGCUUUUGUACGGAACGAAAAGCCUUCUUUUAAUACAGGAGGGUCAUGACGGUACCGUAAGAAUAAGCACCGGCUAACUACGUG